rnacentral:rRNA from 1 species
UACGUAGGGUCCGAGCGUUGUCCGGAAUUACUGGGCGUAAAGAGCUCGUAGGUGGUUUGUCGCGUUGUUCGUGAAAACUCACAGCUCAACUGUGGGCGUGCGGGCGAUACGGGCAGACUGGAGUACUGCAGGGGAGACUGGAAUUCCUGGUGUAGCGGUGGAAUGCGCAGAUAUCAGGAGGAACACCGGUGGCGAAGGCGCCACUCUGGGCCGGUACUGACGCUGAGGAGCGAAAGCGUGGGGAGCGAACAGG